rnacentral:rRNA from 1 species
GAUGAACGCUGGCGGCGUGCCUAAUACAUGCAAGUCGAGCGAACAGACGAGGAGCUUGCUCCUUUGACGUUAGCGGCGGACGGGUGAGUAACACGUGGGUAACCUACCUAUAAGACUGGGAUAACUUCGGGAAACCGGAGCUAAUACCGGAUAAUAUUUCGAACCGCAUGGUUCGAUAGUGAAAGAUGGCUUUGCUAUCACUUAUAGAUGGACCUGCGCCGUAUUAGCUAGUUGGUAAGGUAACGGCUUACCAAGGCAACGAUACGUAGCCGACCUGAGAGGGUGAUCGGCCACACUGGAACUGAGACACGGUCCAGACUCCUACGGGAGGCAGCAGUAGGGAACCUUCCGCAAUGGGCGAAAGCCUGACGGAGCAACGCCGCGUGAGUGAUGAAGGUCUUCGGAUCGUAAAACUCUGUUAUUAGGGAAGAACAAAAGUGUAAGUAACUGUGCACGUCUUGACGGUACCUAAUCAGAAAGCCACGGCUAACUACGUG